rnacentral:rRNA from 1 species
AUCUACGGCCAUGCCACAUGCUCGAUCUCGAUCUCGUCUCAUCUCGGAAGCUUAAGCAGGGUCGGGCUGGUUAGUCCUUGGAUGGAAGACCACCCAGGAAGACCAGGUGCUGUAGGCG